UUAAAAUUAGUUAAUUUAUAUAACAUUAGAAUGUCAAACUAAAAUAAAUAUUAAAUAUUAUUUUAAG
rnacentral:tRNA from 1 species